UCCAGUGUCCAAGACGGAGCACCUACUGCGAUCGGCUUAUUGAAUUCCCGGCGACGAAAAGCUGCGCUGCCUAACUCCGUAAUCCACGAAUCGAGCAAGCGCGCAGCUCCUCGGGCAUUCCCAGCAACGAAAAGCUGUGCCGCCUAACUCCAAUCCAAGGAUCGAGCAAGCGGCGGCUCCACAGGCUCUGGGGGCGCGCGCCGGCCAGAACGGAGCACCGCCGGCCACCCGGCCACGGGCUCGAAAUCGAAAACUGGGGCCGGCCGCUCCACUCGCUCGGGAGAGGCGGGGAGCAGGAAGAGGGGCGCAUACGAGCAAGAAGUCGUUGGAGCAGCCGGGGAUCUUGGGCGCGUCGUCGUCCUGCUGGACGAUGUCGCCGCCGGCGGCCGCCCCGACACCCGUCGCUGGGCCUAGGGUGGAGCCUGGGUUGCUGGGAGGGAGACGGGCAGGUGGAUGGAUCGGCCGCGGGUAGUCGGUCGACGGCUGGAGUGGCCGGCGGAACAGGGAGCGAGUGGGAAGGGGCUCUUAUUUACUUUUCUAAUAAAAACGAUCAGUUCAACCGAAUGACAACAUCAGUACAAUCGCCCGAAAUCAUCAGUUCAAAAAGGAUAACAGAAUAAUAUAUAUAUAUAUAUAUUAUAUAGGGUGGGUCUAUUAUGAUAACACCACUUAAGAGUCUUAUUCUGCCCAUCCAUCUCUUAUUCUGAUAACACUCUGGACCCGCACCCACACAGCCAGCCGAGCCAUCUAAAACAAACCUCACCAACCCCGCCCACACACCCCAUCUCCCUCCUCCUCUGCCACGAUUCCCCUCCCCCAGAUCCACCUUCUUCUCUUCCAGGGCGCGCCGUCCCAUCCCCACUGGGUUUCUUCCCACACCGACGCCGCCCCACCCCCAACCCGCUUCUUGCCCCGCCGACGCCGCCCCAUCCCCAUCCGGCUCCUCCCACGCCAGUUCCGCCACUACCAGGCAACGACGUUCCCGCGCCCAACUCCUCCUCCUUCCCAUGGUCAUGGCGCCACCACGUCCCGUCCGGUGCACUUGAUGCUCUGUCUUCCCCUCCCCAGACCGGAGUUGCAUCCACGACGGUCACAUCGUGCCACCACCAACCUCGGCUGCCAGGGUCCCUCGUCCCCUUCCAUGGCGAGUUGUGCCUCACGUGGAACUCAGACCACCCCACCACCAGAUCCAUCCAGGGGAGGCAAGGGGCUCCGGGCUGCCACCGCAGGCCACACGCGGCCACCACCUCCAUGAAGGUGUGCUCCGGACUGUCACCGCCGGUGCCGCGCCCUUGCCUUCCUCGCUAGAUGCAGCCUCGCCAGCGGUCAAGGCCACGGGCAUAGAGGAGGAAGGAAAAGUUCUCCUAUCCGUCCCCGCUCCCUGCCAGCACCGAUCUGGUUCCCCUCCGCCAAGCCGUACCAUGACGAGUUCUUCCCUGUGUGCUAGUGCUUGUGGACUGCAUCGACUGCGGCAGCCAAAAUCACCAGUCGCUGUUCAGUUUCAUUGCAAAAAUCCUUGGCGCUGGCCACGCCCCGCCUUUUCCUGCUGCUUCGUUUGCGGCGAGGACGGCUUCCUCUCUCUGCCAUGUCAAGCUCCGACCUCCACUACCUGCGCCCGGAGUGCAAACUCCCUUCGGCGAGGAGCGAGGUCCAAUCCUAGCGGGCACGCGAUAUUGUUCGAUGCGCGUGGCCGUGCAGUGCAGUUGAUGCCCCGUGUGCAGCUCACUGACGUGGUCCAAUAGAAAAAUUGGUUUUGUGCGGUUCCAGUGCAGUGCGCAUCAUCUAGUUCCACCUUUUCCUCACUUCUCGCCGGCGUAUAUGGCCCAGGUGGCGCUUUCUAUUGACCGUGAGCGCCGUGCACAGGGCACAUGGCCCAUCGCCCCCGACCCUCAGGGGUUUAAUAUAAUUUUAUAGUGAAAAUGUUUAUGUUCUUUUUUACAAAUAUAUGUGCAGUUUGUUGUAAAUCCAUCUAUGGUUCACUUUGUGAAAAAGAGAGAGAAAAUAAAUACAUCGAUAUUGUAGUGC